UACGUAGGGGGCAAGCGUUGUCCGGAUUUAUUGGGCGUAAAGAGCGUGUAGGCGGCCAUGUAGGUCCGUUGUGAAAACUCGAGGCUCAACCUCGAGACGCCGAUGGAAACCAUGUGGCUAGAGUCCGGAAGAGGAGAGUGGAAUUCCUGGUGUAGCGGUGAAAUGCGCAGAUAUCAGGAGGAACACCGGUGGCGAAGGCGGGUCUCUGGGCCGAUACUGACGCUGAGGAGCGAAAGCGUGGGGAGCAAACAGG
rnacentral:rRNA from 1 species